rnacentral:rRNA from 1 species
AUGAUUUGUCUGGUUAAUUCCGAUAACGAACGAGAUCUUAACCUGCUAAUUAGCGGUAAAUACAACAUAUUCUUAAGUAAAUAAGAAUAUAGAUAAAAAUAACAAAUAAGAGAAUAUAUUAAGAUGUUAUUAUAUAUAAUGUCUUCUUCCCUGUUCUUCUUGUAUUGUUUUUUUAUUCUAUUUCUUUUUUUACGUAAGAAUGUAUUUACUUGAUUGUAAAGCUUCUUAGAGGAACAUUGUGUGUCUAACACAAGGAAGUUUAAGGCAACAACAGGUCUGUGAUGUCCUUAGAUGAACUAGGCUGCACGCGUGCUACACUGAUAUAUAUAACGAGUUAUUAAAAGUAUAUCUUUGUAUAUAUAUAUUCUGUAUAUAUAUACAAAAGAUAUAAUUUUCCUCCACUGAAAAGUGUAGGUAAUCUUUAUCAAUAUAUAUCGUGAUGGGGAUAGAUUAUUGCAAUUAUUAAUCUUGAACGAGGAAUGCCUAGUAAUCAUGAUUCAUCAGAUUGUGCUGACUACGUCCCUGCCCUUUGUACACACCGCC